GGGGGCCCAAGAAAGGGAGAAAAACGAGUUCCCGCCAGAGGAACAAGUUCGUCAUGAUUCAAUGCGAUUCGGCCGCUGCAAGAGGCGGAGAUGCCGUCGUCGGGGUGCGUCAUCAUUUCUUUCUCUCUCUCUCAUCCUCGCCCAUAUCGCAUACUUCCUCAUUUCCCUGUCACAAAGAAAAGAAGAAAAAAUCGAAGCCCGUUCAUUCAAAUUGCAUGGGGUAUCAAUUAGAUUAGAUCGGUCGGAUUAGUCAACUGGAAUUUCAAGAUUUCAUUUUGUUUCUUUUUUUCUCGUUCUUGAUUUUUCUUCCUGUUUGACAUCGGCUAGAAAAUGGAAUUGCUGGUGGUUGGAUCGUUUUUAUUUUUAUCUAUUUUCCUUUCCUCGAAAUGAUUUCUUUUCCAGUCGGGUAUCGAUUAGAUUGCUCGAGUUCCUUUUCUUUUCUUGUUUUUUUUUUGUGGUUGAGAUAAGCUGGAAUUCUUGGAUCUUUUGUCAGCAUUCGCUGGAUUACUUGAAUGUCUGCUUUCUUGUGAUUGGGCUGAAGAUAAUUAUGCUGCCAAGGGUUGAAGGAAAUCAUGUAUUUAGACUUCUAUUAUCUGUGGCCCGAGUUAGUUCGUCAGAUUUAUGCUGUCGUGUUUUAUUGGAUAUUCUUCUGUUUGGAGUAGUGAGGGUGAUCGAGAGCUCGGGUUUUGGGGGGUUGCUGCCUUUAGGUAAACCUGCCCUUUUCUGCCCUUCAAUUUUUGAUUUUCCAUUGGCCCUUUUUUCAGGCUUCCAAAGCUGAUCUUUAUGCUCAUGCGAUCGACCGAUGGGAGUGAGUAGACUUGUAAGAUCGAGAGGAGUCAUGAUAUGGAACGCUCCCUCUUACUUAGUUGAAACCAAAGUAUGGUGUCUGCUGGGUCCUGGGAGCUUAAUGUCAGAGAGAGAUCCCCUCUUACUCUUGGAAAUUAGAAAAUAAAACCAUCAGAGCAGAGGAGACU
rnacentral:lncRNA from 1 species